UUUUCUGAUCCCUGUCCUUUUCUUCCACCCCUUCCUCCUUUUCAAUCCCAAUUCUCUUCUUCCAACCUUUUCUUCCCAACCCUUUCCUCCUCUUCCAUUCCUCUUUCUCCUCCUCUGAUCCCCAUCCUUUUCUUCCACUUUUUCAGCCUCCACUCACUUCUUCCAACCUUUUCUUCCAACCCUUUCUUCUUCCACUUCUCUUUCUCCUUUCCUGAUCCCUAUCCUUUUUUCCAACCCCUUCCUCUUUUUGAACCCCCAUUCACUUCUUCCAACUUUUUCCUCCCAUCCCUUCCUCCUCUUCUACCUGAGAGCCCACCUGGGAUGGGAGAGGAGCUUUUUCCAACCUUUUCUUCCCAUCCUUUCCUCCUCUUCCAUUUCUCUUUCUCCUCCUCUGAUCCCCAUCCUUUUCUUCCUCUUUCCAACCCCCAUUCACUUCUUCCAACCUUUUCUUCCAACCUUUUCUUCCAACCUUUUCCUCCUCUUCCAUUUCUCUUUCUCCUUUUCUGAUCCCUGUCCUUUUCUUCCCAUCCCUUCCUGCUCUUCCAUUUCUCUUUCUCCUCCUCUGAUCCCCAUCCUUUUCUUCCUCUUUUCCAACCCCCAUUCACUUCUUCCAACCUUUUCUUCCUCUUCCAUUUCUCUUCCUCCUUUUCUGAUCCCUGUCCUUUUCUUC
rnacentral:lncRNA from 1 species